UACAGAGGGUGCAAGCGUUAAUCGGAAUUACUGGGCGUAAAGCGUGCGCAGGCGGUUUUGUAAGUCUGUCGUGAAAUCCCCGGGCUUAACCUGGGAAUGGCGAUGGAGACUGCAAGGCUAGAAUCUGGCAGAGGGGGGUAGAAUUCCACGUGUAGCAGUGAAAUGCGUAGAGAUGUGGAGGAACACCGAUGGCGAAGGCAGCCCCCUGGGUCAAGAUUGACGCUCAUGCACGAAAGCGUGGGGAGCAAACAGG
rnacentral:rRNA from 1 species